rnacentral:rRNA from 1 species
UACGUAGGGUGCGAGCGUUGUCCGGAAUUAUUGGGCGUAAAGAGCUCGUAGGCGGUGUGUCACGUCGAUCGUGAAAACUUUCAGCUUAACUGGGAGCUUGCGGUCGAUACGGGCAUCACUGGAGUUCGGCAGGGGAGACUGGAAUUCAAGGUGUAGCGGUGAAAUGCGCAGAUAUCUUGAGGAACACCGGUGGCGAAGGCGGGUCUCUGGGCCGAUACUGACGCUGAGGCUCGAAAGCUAGGGGAGCAAACAGG